UCUUAAGUAGUUUAUUAAAACGUUGAUUUGUGGUGUCAGAAAAGUAAUUAUUUACCUUAAGUA
rnacentral:tRNA from 1 species